UUGACCUCGAAUCAGGUAGGAAUACCCGCUGAACUUAAGCAUAUCAAUAAGCGGAGGAAAAGAAACCAACCGGGAUUACCUCAGUAACGGCGAGUGAAGCGGUAACAGCUCAAAUUUGAAAUCUGGCUCCUACGGAGUCCGAGUUGUAAUUUGUAGAAGAUGCUUUGGGUUGUGGGUUCGGCCUAAGUUCCUUGGAACAGGACGUCAUAGAGGGUGAGAAUCCCGUAUGUGGCCGAGGCCUGCGCCUAUGUAAAGCUCUUUCAACGAGUCGAGUUGUUUGGGAAUGCAGCUCAAAAUGGGUGGUAAAUUUCAUCUAAAGCUAAAUAUGGGCCAGAGACCGAUAGCGCACAAGUAGAGUGAUCGAAAGAUGAAAAGCACUUUGGAAAGAGAGUUAAACAGUACGUGAAAUUGUUGAAAGGGAAGCGCUUGCGACCAGACUUGGGCGCUGCCGAUCACCCCGAGUUUUCUCGGGUGCACUCGACAGCGCACAGGCCAGCAUCGGUUCGGGUGGCUGGAUAAAGGCCGUAGGAACGUGGCUCCCUUCGGGGAGUGUUAUAGCCUACGGUGCCAUGCAGCCCAGCCGGACCGAGGACCGCGCCUUCGGGCUAGGAUGCUGGCGUAAUGGUUGUAAGCGACCCGUCUUGAAACACGGACCAAGGAGUCUAACAUCUAUGCGAGUGUUUGGGUGGUAAACCCAUACGCGGAAUGAAAGUGAACGUAGGUGAGAACCCCUUUGGGGCGCAUCAUCGACCGAUCCUGAUGUCUU
rnacentral:rRNA from 1 species